rnacentral:rRNA from 1 species
CACGUAGGUCCCGAGCGUUGUCCGGAUUUAUUGGGCGUAAAGCGAGCGCAGGUGGUUUAUUAAGUCUGGUGUAAAAGGCAGUGGCUCAACCAUUGUAUGCAUUGGAAACUGGUAGACUUGAGUGCAGGAGAGGAGAGUGGAAUUCCAUGUGUAGCGGUGAAACGCGUAGAUAUAUGGAGGAACACCGGUGGCGAAAGCGGCUCUCUGGCCUGUAACUGACACUGAGGCUCGAAAGCGUGGGGAGCAAACAGG